AUACGGAGGGGGCUAGCGUUGUUCGGAAUUACUGGGCGUAAAGCGUACGUAGGCGGACUGAUCAGUUGUGGGUGAAAUCCCAGUGCUUAACCCUGGAACUGCCUUCAAUACUGUCAGUCUUGAGUUUGGGAGAGGUGAGUGGAAUUCCUAGUGUAGAGGUGAAAUUCAUAGAUAUUAGGAGGAACACCAGUGGCGAAGGCGGCUCACUGGCCCAUUACUGGCGCUGAGGUACGAAAGCGUGGGGAGCAAACAGGAUUAGAAACCCUAGUAGUCC
rnacentral:rRNA from 1 species